GUAGUAGUAGUAGUAGUAUAAAUUCAUAACACUAGUUACUAGUACCACCAUCUUCAUCAUAUCUAUUAACUUGUAUCUCUCUCUUGCUCUUAUAACUUCAAAAAAUACUAGUAUAUAUAAUAUAUAUGGAUCCAUCGGUAAUGGGCUGCAGAAAGUCCGAGUCCAACUAUAUGCUCAUGGUUGUAAUUGCGUUAUUGAGCUUAAGUUUGCUAUUUACUUGCAUGGAAGCCCGGCCUUUGAUAAGAUAUCCUCCUCCUACUACUCAAUUGGGAAGGGACGUUCAUGUUCAUGUUCAUGUUAAUGUUAAGGAGAAUGUUGCAGAGUACUAUGAGAAACUUCUUGCUCUCUGGGUUACUAUUAAGAAUAGUGGCCCGAGUCCUGGAGUUGGACAUUCCUUCGUUGAUGGAGCCCAACCCUGAUGAUAUAUAUAUAUAUAUAUAUAUAUAUAUAUAUAUAUAUAUAUAUAUAUAUAUAUGUUGGUAAUCUUAAAGAAAAUUAUGUAUAUAUAUUUAUAUUAACUUAUCUUGUAGAAAAUGAUUUGUCAAGGCUAGUACUUGGUACUAUGUUUUUAAGACAAUUAUAUCUUCCGUAUGGUGUUUAAAGUUUAUAGCACUUAUCUCCCAGAAUACAAUAAAACUGUAUACUUUAGCAACACUACAUGCAGAACUCGCCAAUCAAUGGAGGAGUAAUAUAGUUAGUGAUCUUAUCCCAUAUAUCUUUAGUUGUAAAUUUUUGAUGAGUAAUAUUGUUUUUACAACUAAUAUGUACACCAAUAUUUGAUCGAUAUUCUAAAAUAAUAUACUAUGAUUAUGUUUUUUUUCCAAGGC
rnacentral:lncRNA from 1 species